rfam:Paracoccus aminophilus JCM 7686, complete genome.
GCCCAGGUGGCGGAAUUGGUAGACGCGCACGGUUCAGGUCCGUGUGCCGCAAGGCGUGGAGGUUCGAGUCCUCUUCUGGGCA